CCCUUAGAUGUUCUGGGCCGCACGCGUGCUACACUGAUGCAUUCAACGAGUCUAAAACCUGGUCUGAUAGGGCUGGGUAAUCUUUUGAAAGUGCAUCGUGAUUGGGAUAGAUGAUUGCAAUUCUUCAUCUUCAACGAGGAAUGCCUAGUAAACGCAAGUCAUCAGCUUGCAUUGAUUACGUCCCUGCCCUUUGUACACACCGCCCGUCGCUCCUACCGAUGGAACGAUCCGGUGAAAACUCUGGAUUGGAGGGUUUGGUUGUUGCUUUGCAACACUACCCUUCGAGAAAUUGUUUGAAUCUUAUCGUUUAGAGGAAGGAGAAGUCGUAACA
rnacentral:rRNA from 1 species